rnacentral:lncRNA from 1 species
UAAAACGUUGAAUAUAUAUAUAUAUAGUUGUUAAACACAAGCUAAAUAACAAUGAUUGUAUUAACUGAUAAAUAAGAUUGCAGAUUAAUCGAAUAUAUUAAGAAUAUCAAGUUCAAUGCCCAACUGAAAUUAAUAAUCAAAUUCUCUAUUUUCCCAUUGAUCAAUUUCCUUUUUUAUGCAACUAGUAUAAGUUGUGCAUAACAAAAUAACCAUGCAUAUAGCCAACUUUUAAGAUAAGAUAAAGUAAGAGCCUCAAGAAUAAUUAUUUAUUAUUAUUUUUGAAAGAAAAUCCUCAAGAAUAACAAUAAUAUGUUUAAUAAGAACAAUAUUUUUUUUUUCAAUUGAGAUUUAAUGACGAUCACCUAAAUAUUCUGUUCUCUUUUUCUUUUCAUUGUAUUCCUUAAUGCUUUUCUUGAGUUUGGCCCAACCUUUCUUACAAGCACCAAUAGCCUUCACACUUUGUUUGACAAUUACUUUCUUGGCCUUCUUUGCCUUGGCUUUGGCUUUCUUUGCAGUCACCUUUACUUUAUCUUCAAAAUCUCCCAUUUUUCUUGAAUUCUCAAAAUGGAGAAUUCAAUGGGAAGAUUUUAGAGGGCAGCUUAAUUAAUAAUAAGCAGCAUUUUUCUAUGAAUUCUACAUGUUGUAUUUAUAUGAUGCAUGUAUGCUUGAUUCCAACUUAGAAUGAUAAAUGUUUGACCAAGUCUUCAUGGGGGUGUAUCUUUCUAAGGUUGGCCUUUAAUUUCGUUUAUUUCAUGGCCUCUCAACCUAACAUUUUGUUAAUUUGGGUGGAUUAUAAACUAUUUUU